UUCACUGUAAGAGAAUCUUUGCUGCCAUAAAAACACAGCUCUCAUGGCUGGUACCAGCUCUGACAAUGCUGAACUAUGCUGCAAAAAACAUUAAUAAUGAUGCAGAAAUAUUUCUGUUGUCUCAUGCUGACAGGUAAUUCAGUUUUCACAAGCGGUAAGCUGAAGGUUGUCUAAAAUGAGAAACAGGUUCCCAGCCCAGGACUGAGAUCUUCAUGUUGGAAAAGAGGAAAAAGCCAGAAGCUAAACACUUGCAAAUCAGUGAUUAACAGAGCAAACCAAGAUCUGACCUGACAAGUGGACAGAAAAGAGAACUUAAUAAAUGUCUGUUUAGCUACAGCACCAACU